UACGUAGGCAGCAAGCGUUGUUCGGAGUUACUGGGCGUAAAGGGUGCGUAGGCGGCUUUUUAAGUUUGGUGUGAAAUCUCCCGGCUCAACUGGGAGGGUGCGCCGAAUACUGAGAGGCUAGAGUGUGGGAGAGGAAAGUGGAAUUCCUGGUGUAGCGGUGAAAUGCGUAGAUAUCAGGAGGAACACCGGUGGUGUAAACGCUUUCUGGACCAUAACUGACGCUGAGGCACGAAAGCGUGGGGAGCGAACAGG
rnacentral:rRNA from 1 species